GGGGAAUAUUGGACAAUGGGGGCAACCCUGAUCCAGCCAUGCCGCGUGAGUGAUGAAGGCCUUCGGGUUGUAAAGCUCUUUUGGCGGGGACGAUGAUGACGGUACCCGCAGAAUAAGCCCCGGCUAACUUCGUGCCAGCAGCCGCGGUAAGACGAAGGGGGCUAGCGUUGUUCGGAAUUACUGGGCGUAAAGCGAGUGUAGGUGGUUGUCAUAGUCAGGUGUGAAAGCCUUGAGCUCAACUCAAGAAAUGCACUUAAUACUGGGCGACUAGAGGACCGGAGAGGAUAGUGGAAUUCCCAGUGUAGUGGUGAAAUACGUAGAUAUUGGGAAGAACACCAGUGGCGAAGGCGGCUAUCUGGACGGUUUCUGACACUAAGACUCGAAAGCGUGGGGAGCAAAC
rnacentral:rRNA from 1 species